rnacentral:rRNA from 1 species
GACGAACGCUAGCGGCAGGCCUAAUACAUGCAAGUCGAACGAGAAAGCAUCUUCGGGUGUGAGUACAGUGGCGAAAGGGUGAGUAACACGUACGCAAUCUGCCCCAUUCUAGGAAAUACCUUUUGGAAACAGAAGACAAUGUCCUAUAUAAUUCAAUGAGCGCAUGCUCUAAGAAUGAAAGUUCAGGCGGAAUGGGAUGAGCGUGCGUCCUAUUAGCUAGUUGGUGAGGUAAUGGCUCACCAAGGCAAUAAUGGGUAGGGGUUCUGAGAGGAAGGUCCCCCACACUGACACUGAGAUACGGGUCAGACUCCUACGGGAGGCAGCAGUAGGGAAUAUUGGUCAAUGGACGCAAGUCUGAACCAGCCAUGCCGUGUGCAGGACGAAGCUUUUAGGAGUGUAAACUGCUUUUUUAUGGAACAAAUGCCCUUGCGAGGGGAGCUGAGGGUACCAUAAGAAUAAGUACCGGCAAACUACGUGCCAGCAGCCGACGG